UACGUAGGUGGCAAGCGUUGUCCGGAUUUAUUGGGCGUAAAGCGAGCGCAGGCGGUUUCUUAAGUCUGAUGUGAAAGCCCCCGGCUCAACCGGGGAGGGUCAUUGGAAACUGGGAGACUUGAGUGCAGAAGAGGAGAGUGGAAUUCCAUGUGUAGCGGUGAAAUGCGUAGAUAUAUGGAGGAACACCAGUGGCGAAGGCGGCUCUCUGGUCUGUAACUGACGCUGAGGCUCGAAAGCGUGGGGAGCAAACAGGAUUAGAUA
rnacentral:rRNA from 1 species